UACGAAGGGGGCUAGCGUUGCUCGGAAUCACUGGGCGUAAAGGGUGCGUAGGCGGGUUUUUAAGUCAGGGGUGAAAUCCUGGAGCUCAACUCCAGAACUGCCUUUGAUACUGAAGAUCUUGAGCCCGGGAGAGGUGAGUGGAACUGCGAGUGUAGAGGUGAAAUUCGUAGAUAUUCGCAAGAACACCGGUGGCGAAGGCGGCUCGCUGGACCGGUUCUGACGCUGAUGCGCGAAAGCGUGGGGAGCAAACGGG
rnacentral:rRNA from 1 species